GUUGUGCAGCAACGCCGGCACGUCUCGGUUACAAUUAUGUAACGAAUUAACGGCGCAGGUCCUAGGUUCGAGUCCUAGUGUGGGCACCA
rnacentral:tRNA from 1 species